AGGCGCGUAGCUCAGCUUGGUUAGAGCGCUACCUUGACAUGGUAGAGGUCGUUGGUUCGAGUCCAAUCGCGCCUACCA
rnacentral:tRNA from 1 species